rnacentral:lncRNA from 1 species
GAUCCACUCCAGAGUUCAAGUACAUUCGCGUCCCAAUGUCGAGUUUGUACUCGUCGAAAACGGGCUGAGAAUGUUCGUGCAACAGUCAAAUUAAGCUCCACUCGAAUGCUCAUUUUUCAAGGACAUUUCAACGAGCCUACGCGACGAAAAUAUUUUAAGGACGAGGACGGUAGUUGGAUGGGUGACGCUCAGCCACGCAGUUUUUCGUCUCGGAGGUGCUGAUAAAUUGCAAUUGAAGUGCUGAACAACGAAGCGAAGGAAAACUGAGCUGAAGUGUGAUGGGGCGCGCUCGUAAAAACCCAAAAAGCUGCACGCGGAAGCAAUAAAAACACUAUGAGAAAUGGAAGAAUCUCAAACGUCGGAGGAUCUUACGUCACCCGGACGUUUUUCCCCAGGAGAUUGUAUUUCGAGGUGCUUCGCUUCAGGAACCUUUGGAGGGCAAAAGAAGCCUCGGGACUUUUACAAUCGACAUCAAAUUCAAGCGUUUCGAGCCAUUUUCCGCCGGCACAAAAAACCUGUUUUUACGAAGUUUUUCGAAAAAAUACUCAAACUGCAUAAUUUCAGAACUAAAAUUCCUGUCGACCUAACGUAAUGAAAUUCAAUUUCAAAUAUUUUACAGAUUCAAACCUUAAGAGAUUGCAAAACGACGGCAAAUUUAGAGCGGGUGUCCCAUCGGCUGCGGGGCAAAUGCAUGACGUCACCGAGUUUCAACGCGACUUCGUCCUGAGCUCCUUCGUAAAGCAGAACGAGUGCUAAUUUAACGGAGAGCGGUGAAAUCAAAAGGGCGCGACAACUUUGGGGUCUUUGACGGAGGGCGGAUCUGUGGCAUCGUUCAUUGGUGCUGUUUGACACACAACGAAACCAAAUGCCAUCAUCAGGAGCUGCCAUUCUGUGGGAAGAAAAAUCACUAUGAUAAGAGGGAAAAAAAUUGCGUUUCCAUUGCCACACAGCAGACAAAAGCUAGCAACGGAAAGUCUGACGAGGCUCGACGAAGAAAAAUAAUAGCAAUUUUCAAAAAGCAUUAAUCAUCGAGCGGAAGAAUAUUGCGAUUGAAAAAUAUUUAAAAUCUAUUCGUUCGCAGGUGGGCUGAAAAGAGGAAAAUAAUUUUGUUUCCUGCAGCACCGAAUCGGCCGAUUAUCCGCUUGUUUAUACUCCGUAUGACAAAAUUAUGAAAUAACGCAAAUUCGAUCGAUCGAUGGUCACCGACCUCGAGACUCCAGGCCUUGAACUCAUUACCGUUAUUCAAAGAUUAAUUGCAUAAUGCUGCGAUGUAAAAUUGCCUCAAGAUCAAUGAGGGACUCGGCAAACGGACUAAAAAGUUUUAUCCGAUUAAACAUAAGUGGAUAAACCACUUUACGGAUGACUAAUAACAUUUGAACUCGUAAAUUAUUCAUGCUCCGAGCUAAAAGUCGUCAUGACCAUAAAUGCCUGCGGAAUACAAUGUUCGUGCGAUCGAGAAAAACGUGAAACGAUUAGCGGAUGGGAUCUCUCUCGACUUUCGGUGCUCCCAACGCCUCGGGGUCACGGGAUCAAAUGUU